rnacentral:rRNA from 1 species
AGCGAACGCUGGCGGUAGGCCUAACACAUGCAAGUCGAACGGCAGCACAGUAAGAGCUUGCUCUUACGGGUGGCGAGUGGCGGACGGGUGAGGAAUACAUCGGAAUCUACUUUUUCGUGGGGGUUAACGUAGGGAAACUUACGCUAGUACCGCAUACGACCUACGGGUGAAAGCAGGGGAACUUCGGACCUUGCGCGAUUGAAUGAGCCGAUGUCGGAUUAGCUAGUUGGCGGGGUAAAGGCCCACCAAGGCGACGAUCGGUAGCUGGUCUGAGAGGAUGAUCAGCCACAUGGGAACUGAGACACGGUCCAGAGUCCUACGGGAGGCAGCAGUGGGCAAUAUUGGACAGUGGGGGCAAGUCUGAUCCAGCCAUACCGCGUGGGUGAAGAAGGCGUUCGGGUUGUAAAGCCGUUUUGUUGGGAAAGAAAAGCAGCAGGUUAAUACGCCGCUGUUCUGACGGUACCCAAAGAAGAAGCACCGGCUAACUUCGUG